rnacentral:lncRNA from 1 species
UGCAGUUGGCGGUCGGGCUAGACAAGAGAGGCGCCUGCGCCUGCGCCCGCGCCUGCGAGCUGGGCUUGUGAGUGGGGCUGCCCAGCCGGCAGGCGUGGGGCGAGGCCAAAGGACUGAACCCGCAGGAGCGUCACAGGCGCCGGGGCGGCUGCCGACGGCGGGCCUGGGUCAGUGAGAAGCCCGUGGACCCCCGCCCUGCCUGCUACUCCCAUCCUCCCCUGCUGCGCGCUCCACGGGGAACGACCUCCGAUUGGGUCCAAUGCCUACCCUCGGGGUGGAGCCGGCAGGUUUUCUAUCAGAUGUUCCACGUAAUAAUGCUGGAGUUAAGAAGUUUCCAUUAUUUUGCUCCAAACCAGAAGACUCUGUUGCCUGUAUAUAGAAUAGGAGUAAUGUUUGAAAACAACUGGCUGGUGUUUAAGACUGAAGAUUGUCGUGAUUGUUUAUCCUAAUCCCAAUGCUGAAGUAAGAUUGUCUUGGAAAUACUAAGUUGGGAUAAU